rnacentral:rRNA from 1 species
CAGUCGCCGCGGGAAUACAGAGGGUGCGAGCGUUAAUCGGAUUUACUGGGCGUAAAGCGUGCGUAGGCGGCUUUUUAAGUCGGAUGUGAAAUCCCUGAGCUUAACUUAGGAAUUGCAUUCGAUACUGGGAAGCUAGAGUAUGGGAGAGGAUGGUAGAAUUCCAGGUGUAGCGGUGAAAUGCGUAGAGAUCUGGAGGAAUACCGAUGGCGAAGGCAGCCAUCUGGCCUAAUACUGACGCUGAGGUACGAAAGCAUGGGGAGCAAACAGGAUUAGAGACCCCGGUAGUCCCUGUCUCUUAUAA